rnacentral:rRNA from 1 species
CAAUAGCGUAUAUUAAAGUUGUUGCGGUUAAAAAGCUCGUAGUUGGAUCUCGGCAGGCAGGGGGUGGUUCGCUCUUAGCGCUACUGCCCCAUUUGCCUGUGUGAUUGGCGGAGGUUUCGGGGUGCUCUUCGUUGAGUGACCCGGGGCGCCGUCAGGUUUACUUUGAAAAAAUUAGAGUGCUCAAAGCAGGCUUUUCACGCUUGAAUAUUCGUGCAUGGAAUAAUGGAAUAGGAACUCGUUUCUAUUUUGUUGGUUUUCGGAAAUCGAGUUAAUGAUUAAUAGGGACAAUUGGGGGCAUUAGUAUUCAGACGACAGGGGUGAAAUUCUUGGACCGUCUGAAGACUAACUACUGCGAAAGCAUUUGCCAAGAGUGUUUUCAUUAA